rnacentral:tRNA from 1 species
GCCUAGGUGGCUCAGUCGGUUGAGCAGUUGACUUCAGCUCAGAUCACGAUCUCACAGCUUGUGGGUUCAAGCCCCGUGAUGGGCU